UACGUAGGGGGCAAGCGUUGUCCGGAAUCAUUGGGCGUAAAGAGCGUGUAGGCGGCCAGAUAAGUCCGCUGUGAAAUCUCGAGGCUCAACUUCGAGCUGUCGGUGGAAACUGUCUGGCUAGAGUCCGGAAGAGGAAAAUGGAAUUCCUAGUGUAGCGGUGAAAUGCGCAGAUAUCAGGAAGAACACCCGUGGCGAAGGCGGUUCUCUGGGACGGUACUGACGCUGAGACGCGAAAGCGUGGGGAGCGAACAGG
rnacentral:rRNA from 1 species